rnacentral:lncRNA from 1 species
CUAAGUUUCAGCUGCAGCUGUUUCCCUGAAAGCCAGAGAAGACCUUCCUCUUACAUCACAUUAAGGCACCCACUCACUACCUUGGCGUCGUUUUUUGGGUCUGACUUGACUCGUCAACUGCUGGUCUCUCCCACCUGGUUGGAAAUGUCGUUGGAAACUUGCAAAGACUCUCCAGACCUUAGGGAACAAGAGGCAUCACUCAGUCCUUCUGGGACAGCUUCCCUGUAAGCAAAGCCAGGCCUCAGAAAACGGAAUCUCUGUCUGUGACCUUCUCCUGCCCCAUUUCACUUGCUCAACACCAGACUUUAAUCUGACUGUAGCUCAUAAGACCCUCAUUCCAGAGAGGGUGCUGCCCCAUACCCGGAAGGAGGAACGCUGCACAGAGAGGCCAAGAAGCAUCUGGACAGACAGGCCUUGCUGGGUUUAGACCUUAUGCUUUUUGUCCAGUUUCAUCUCAACACAGCUGCCAUGCUUCAGCCAUGCCUAUCCAAUGACGUCUCCAUAAAAGGCCCAGGAACACGGGAGCUUCUGAAGAGCUGAACAUGUGGAGGGAGGGGAACGAGAACUUGUCCAUGUGCCAAGAGGGUGGCGCACCCCCACUCCAUGGGGACAGAAGCUCCAGCAUUUGCCCAGGACCCGUCCAGACCUCACCCUGUGUGUAUCUUCAUCUGGCUGUUUACUUAUUUGUAUCCUUUUCUAAUAAUGUUUGUAAUAAACUGGUAAACAU